CUGUAACCAGUGAGGGCACACAUCCAUAAAUUUGGGCGUGCGAUGCCUCGUAUACCUGGAAGACUUGCUGAUUCUUUACGAAUCCAGGCUACAUUUGCAGACAAAUUUGUCGUUCACUUUCGGGACUCCAUGGAUUUUUUGUUGUACACAGACAAAGAUCGCUUCUCCAUCUGAAUCGGGCCAGUUCCUCAGUUUCGACAUCGGCUUGGAGAACUAUGUUCCGCGUCAGUCUACGGCAAAGAGCGCCUCUAUAAGGAUAACUGUCG